CAAAAAUUAGUUAAUUCAUAAUACUAGCUUGUCAUGCUUGAGUAAUCUUAUAGAUAUUUUUGA
rnacentral:tRNA from 1 species